AAAGUCCCAUCUACUCUCAGUGAGCCAUCUGAUGGGUAGUAGUGAACUUCACAUGCAUUCCAGUGAUGGUGUGUAUGAAGCUGGAGGAAUCAAGGAUUCAGGCCGCGCUAUUGAGCCUCGAAAAUUAACGUAUUGUGGUCUAUUAAGAUAAUCUAUUGGUGCUUUAUCAAUAGAAAAAGCCGACACUAUAGCAGGAGUGGAAGGCUAAAGUCUGGAAGUUGUUUUUAGGCUAGAUUUUCAGACACCACCGUGGUCGGAGAACG
rfam:Candidatus Magnetoglobus multicellularis str. Araruama Cont1317, whole genome shotgun sequence.